GUUUUAUAAAAGGAAACUCGUUUCCAAAGAAAACGAACGGUGGUUGUCUUCUUUCCAGAACAAUCUAACGCUUUCUCGAACAUCUUCUUCUCUUCUGCGAAUAUGAGUAGCCGAUGGAAUCGUACGAUCUACGUUGGGAAUUUGCCUGGAGAUAUUCGCAUGCGUGAGGUUGAAGAUCUCUUCUACAAGUAUGGACCAAUUGUGGACAUUGAUUUGAAGAUUCCACCGAGACCUCCUGGUUAUGCCUUUGUCGAGUUUGAAGAUCCUCGUGAUGCAGACGAUGCAAUUUAUGGACGUGAUGGUUAUGAUUUUGAUGGGUGUCGUCUACGGGUUGAGAUUGCACAUGGUGGCCGUAGAGGUUCAUCAUCAGUUGAUAGGUACAGCAGCAGCUAUACUGGGAGCCGUGCACCUUCUAGGCGCUCUGCCUAUCGCGUGCUUGUGACCGGAUUACCUCCUUCUGCUUCGUGGCAGGACCUUAAGGAUCACAUGCGAAAAGCUGGAGAUGUCUGCUUCUCUGAAGUUUUCCGUGACCGUGGUCGCAUGUCUGGGGUUGUGGAUUAUAGCAACUAUGAUGAUAUGAAGUACGCGAUAAGGAAACUUGAUGACACUGAGUUUCGAAAUGCUUUCUCUAGAGCCUAUAUACGGGUGAGAGAAUAUGAGUCGAGGAGUGUGAGUCGCAGCCCAAAUGAUUCUAGAAGUUAUAGAAGCAGGAGUCGGAGCCGUGGUCGAAGCUGUAGCUAUAGUAGCAGGAGCAGGAGUGUGUCACCUGCUAGAUCUGUUUCCCCACGUUCACGGUCCCUUAGUCGUUCUCGUUCGCCAUACAGCUCUGUCUCAAGAUCUGGCUCACUGCUGCGAGCUGGGGAUUGGAUCUUAGGGACUUGAUGGGUCAUCUAGAUGGAUUCUUGGACUGGAUUUACAAAGCUGGAUUAGCAUGAACUUGAACUUCUGUUUUUCGGUUUGGUCUGGUCUGGUCUGGUACUUCGCGCGUAUCAGCUGUAGGAUCUGAUCGAAAAGUUUUGGAAUAUGAUUCCUCAAUAUAUUAUCUUUUUGACAAUACUGGAUUAUGUGUUGAGUUCUUUUCUAGGCCAGCAUUUAAGCUCCCGAGACGGAUGGGAGAUGGGCAGUAAAUUGCUUUGUUAUGCCACACUUACAUGGUUUUUUCUUUUGUCUUGCUGCAGGUCCAGAUCAAGAUCAAGAUCAAGAUCAAAUUCUCCUGUUUCACCUGUGAGAUCUGAUUGAAAAUGAAAACUGAUGACUGGCUGUACCCGAAUCGUCUCAUGCUUCUCAGGGUCUACUGCUAAUAGAAUCUGAUACGGAUUUGGGAUUAUCCUGCUGGUUUUCUUGUAUGGGACGACCAAUAUGUCUUUCUAGUUUUAGUUUUUGAACAUGGAAUUGGUCUGUUAUUGUGUCAUUAAGAAAGCCAGAAACUUUAUCUUGGCUGCAUAUUAAAGUUCAUCAGACGACGUGGUGCGUGUGUUGUGAGGUUUUUCCAUACAAAUAUUUUACAUUACAACUACUGGAAGUGUGGUGUCUUU